CGAGCUGGGAGAGGCCCUCGCCGGGGCAGAGACGACUCACCAGUGACAAGUGAACCCAAAUCCCGGACAUGGCUGUGGAACAAUCUCCGAAGUGAAGGAGCCUUACAACUGGCACCAGGGCGAGUUAGGCACCCGGUUGGAGAGUAUAAGCAUGGCCUGCAGCCCCUCAUCUUGGCUUCUCCACAAAGGAAGGUACCUUGAUCAAGUUCCUGAGUAUAGUCCACUAUCAGCAUAUUUUGCAAGGAGUGCCUGCUUCUUGAAGGAUUAGAGGCACUCACUCAUCAUCACUGGUUAGAUAGCAUUACCAACUCAAUGGACAUGAAUUUGAGCAAACUCCAAGAGACAGUGAAGGCCAGGGAAGCCUACUGUGCAGUCCAUGGGAUCUCAAAGAGCCAGACACAACAUAGAAACUGAACAACGAUGACAAGUCAUCAUCAAGGCCCAGGUGGAGUUGGUCCUUUGCCAACAUCCACAUGAGAGACAUUUACUGAGCACCUGCUAUGCCCAUGUCUUUUAAAAGACACCGGAGAUACUGUGGUGAACACUCAGGUCCCUACCCAGUCUAAUGAGAAAGGUGGGUAUCACAAAGUAAUCACACACUAUUACAAAGACCAAUAAGUACUAUUAGAAAACAGUUGAGUGCUCUUAAAGAACAUAAUAUCUAGUUGGGAGGGAGUGUGGUGGUCAGGGAAGGCUUCCAAGAAGCUGACCAUCUGAGAGAUCUGAAAAAUCUGAGUGGAAAUAAGGCAGCCAUAAAAGGAUGACGAGAGAUGAAGCUGAAGGCUCAGAAAGUCUCCUUUGCGUGACAGAAAAUCUGUUAUUCUGGGUGGGUUGUGUCCUUUCCGAUAGAGAUAUCAAAGGCAUAUCAAGGCAGAGCGGCAGCUCAGGUCACAGCAUAGGCUUGGGCACAGUUGAUGCCCCAAAUACCCCAGAAUGUGGAAAUGUUUGUAUCUUACAAAGCAGUUUUUUUUUUUUUUUAAAGAUGGAAUAUUGACACUAAAGAAAGUUUUUUGGGAGAUGAGAGAAGUGGCAAAGCAAACAGUGUAUUGGAAAAUCCAUUUUAAUUUUAUGGAGACAAUGUGUUCCAACUUCCCCUACUCCCAUCACUUAAGGUUAUACUUACUGGUUCAAUAAUCAAGAUCCUUGUAUAAAAUUGUCUUGAGUACCAUUCAAUGUGAGGGGAAAAAACCCCAAUGCAACACAGAUAAUAAUGUUCCAAACCCCUAAAUCUUUCUGUUUUCUGGGAUGUUUCUUCUUAUUCAGAAGAAUCUUCUACCCAGACACAUUUUCCAUCUGUAUGUCAUCUGGGGAAAAAAAGCUUUUUUAAUGUGGUGUUUUACCCCCAAAUGUCAGACCUAUAUAAAGUUCUGACAGGCAGAAACUUUUCCUUCUUUAAGCCUGAGAAAUCUUCCAUCCACGUCCACUUUUCAAGAGGAAGACUUUAAAAGGGGUGAGUGAGGUGUAGGGAUCUGUAGAAUUUCCACAACACAUACACAGUCUGUUACUAGAAAAGAGGACAGAAAUUCCUAAAUCAACAGUUGCCUGAAACAUUUUUAGCAGAGCCUCAUUCCAAGCCAGCCAGUGAGACAGAAUUAAGCAGGAAAAGACUUUCUGUGACUCAGAAGCUGCCUUCCCUUAUAAAGUCAAGGUUCUCCCCAGUGGUAUUUUGACUACUUUUGGAGGAGGGGUUGCUUGCAUCCAGCUCUCUGAAGAAGCCAGAAUUUUCUGUUCCUCUCUACCAAAAAAGUACUCUGUCGACAAAUAUGUGUGCAAGACACAAACCCUGUUCACAUUCUUUCAGGUCAGUGGAGUGCCCGUGUUACCAGCAUCUACAGCUGGUUUUUGGAUAAAGUCCUCGUUGUCAUGGGUUCAAUAAAACAAACAUGUUUUGCUGUUCUAUGAUGAAUUUUAAACCCAAGGUGACCAAAGACCCUGCCUGAAGACUCCCUGCGUUCCUGUGCCUGUCAGGAUGAUUAUAUAUGUAACCAUCUCUACUACAUGUAAGAAAAUUGCUGCACAGUAAGGAAGUUUAUUAAUGCAUAGGUGUGAUCACAUGGGAACAUAAUUAAAUAUUGUGAUUAGUCAGACAUGCUGGAUGAAUGAGAGUUGCUAAAUCUAACAGAUCUGAGUUAGAAGUUUGCAAAGACUUACAUACAGAUUUAAUAUACAACAUAUAAAUUGUACAUAAAUAAUUAUAUAUACAACCCCACUGAAUUGAAUACUUUACUUCCAAAGGAAUGCUAGAAUCAUGCCACACUUGCAAGUCACAACUGGAAAAUCUCAAUUAUUGUUAUAAGCUACAGCAAAAAAGCAAUCGUUAUAUGCAUGAUAUAGCUUAAAUUCUGGAGGAAAUGUAAGCUUGCAGGAUGAUAAUAAUACCAGAAAAAUCUUGAGAUUAAUUUAAAAAACUCAAAUUUAUAUUUAUUCCUAUGAGAGAUCCAAUAUAGGGGUUUGAGGGAAGACUUAUCAACCAUCAUCCUAUUUUUUAAUUUAGUGAUGAAUAAAAUGUGUUAAGGGUAUAAUCUUUAAAAAUUGUGAAUCACUGUGUUGUACACCUGUAACUUAUAUAUCAUUGUACAUCAACUAUACUUCAAUAAGAGAAAAAGGAUAAAUGCAUAGGGCAAUCAGAUAUAUUACCAGAAAAAGAGAAUAAACUGGGUUCAGAGAUGUGAAGCCUCAUGGCUUCUGGACUAGCUGAAGUAAUUCACAGAGCUUCAUCCUGCUUGUCUUACUGGCCUUAACACGACACUGCCCAUGGCAAGAAAGUUAUGAAACCAUUUGUUCCACGUUAUAUAUUAAUCUUUCAUCUUAGAAAGUUUAAGAAGCAAGGGUUCUUAGGCUUCUUUUUGUUUGUGUUUGAAGGGUGUGUUUGCAGUUUGGUUUCAGGCAACGUAGCUUGUAAUCAAAUGCAUGUUAGAAUGGAAGACUGCUGAGGAACAUUCUAUUGAAAGUCACCAGAAUUCAUUAUUCCACUGUGUUCUCCCGUCAGUCCUUAUAAUAUUACAAUAUUCCUAUUUUACAAACGAGAAAACUGAGAUGCUCAGAUGUUAGAUGAUUUGCCCAAUGAGUCAAAUUAGAUUGUUGGGAAAAAAACCAGCCUUUGAAUCCAACUUGAUUCCAAAGCCCAUAUGUUUUCUCCUACUUUGUGAAACUUUUCAUCACAGUGCGAAUCUCAGCCUGAUCCAGCUAUGUCAAAUUCCAAUCAGGUUUUAAAGAAGCGGGAGUUCAUCAGCCUGAAAUUACCCUAUAGGGUCUCAAUUUUGUUGGAAAAGGAAAUGAAUGCUUCAGAUUCCAAACUGAAGAUUUUAGAAUUCUUGAAGCAUCCAAAGUUAUCUCGUGGGGUCCUUCCUGUUCACUUUCUUUUCUGGGGGCUAAAAAGUAUGUCUGAUGCUAAAAUGAGAGUGUUUGUGUAAACUCUCAGCCGAUCUUGGCACUCAGCCUGUGCUGCCUCGGCUUGGAUCAGGCCACUUUGCUUUCUAUGGGAUCUUCCCACUUAAACCUCAGGACCAUCUAAUGGCACCCUACAUUCCCAGGGCUUCCCACAACACUCCGGACAACAGCAUUGAAGUAUCUCCUGCUAUUCAGUUGAGUUAAUCCUCGUUUUGGUGACGACUCAUAAUAUGCUCCCUUGAUUGGCAUUUUAAAGUUUUCAAAGUACUCUAGCAAUUUAAGUCUUUCUAUAAAAUUUAUCAGCUCAGGAACCUUGUGCCGUGAUUGAGCCGGUGUCAUGGUCAUUUUGCAAAUGAGAAAACUGAGGUGAAGGUCACACCCCCAGCCAGGGAAUAAUAAAGUGCCAGUUCUUGGGGCAAAAUUUGAGCCGCUGUAUUUUUCAUACCUUACCUUCUAUGAAAACUAUCAACAUUAUCAGCCUGUUACCUCAUAGAUGGUGUUGUAGAAGACUUUUUAGAGUCCCCUGGACAGCAAGGGGACAGCAAGAUCCAAGCAGUCCAUCCUAAAAGAAAUCAUUCCUGAAUAUUCAUUGGAAGGACUGAUCCUGAAGCUGA